CCGCUAAUUUCAAAACCCCCCACUUCUUUCUUCUAAACUCUAAAUUCUGAUUCCAAAUUCCCAAUGAACUUGUCUCGCUUUCUGUCUCUCUCUCUCUCAAAUGGUCAAAUCUAAUUCCACCUCCUCCAUUUUCCCCCCAAUACGGCCAACGAAUAUGCGGCAACCACCUUCAUCUUUGAGAUACAGAGGAAAUCUGGAAGAGUAGACAGAUUGAUUGCUAAUUGGUUUUGACGCCUGAAGCUAGGGUUUUAACGCGAGGAAGAUGGACCUCCUCCAUUUUUAUUCUCAGCAGUUGAAGUCGAUUCCCAAUUGCAGUGUUUCUUCCUUGUUGUUGUAUCUCUCUUUGUUGCUCUUCUUCUUUGUCUCUUUCCAAUUCUAAAGACUCGAUCACAUUCUCAAAGGAAUAUGGUGAGAUUUAUAGCUAACGAUAGUUUUAUCUCAAUUUUGUGUUUGUUCUUAGGUUUAAUGACUUCUGGCAUGAUUUUGAGAAGUUAAACAGUUUCAGGUCACUUUGCCAAAAGUGAAUAAAUUGGUUUUCACUGGCUGGAUUUGCUUCUCCAUGUAAUUUUUAUCAUCGGUGAACUAAUUUUAGCUUUGAGAGAACUUACCCAACAAUUUUGCUAGCUAUUCUGGUUCAAAAGCAAGAUGGACAAUGGAAUCGCCUGAGAAACUCAAUACAGUCGUUGUCUUGAAACAACGAGAUAGCAGCCGUUGGCAGAAGAUUAAUACAUGCAAUGGCUUCUAGUUGGCUAUAUCCCAAAUAAGCUUAUAAACCCAGGAUGCAGACUGAAGACUGGACUGGCUGGUAAAUUAUUGCUUAUUUUUUCAUAGAUGGUUUGACAAAAUUUUUGAAGUUUUAUAACAGGAAAUUCACUGUCUUAUGUCUUCAUUUGCAUGCUACUUCCCAAAUAAGCUUAUAAACUCAAAAUUUUUGAAGUUUUUAUGCAAAAUGGUCUGUUUUCUUACGAGAAAGUUUGGGGAUCUAUUUAGUAGAAGACAAGUGCUAAACUUCUCCUUCAAUUAUGUCCCUUUAACCCUGUGAUCUAUAGCAAUUCAUGCGCUCAAUAUAUCUAUAAGGGUACCACUACUAAUGGUAGGAAGGUUGUGCUCAAUAAGCUUGGGUUGUCCAGAUGCAAGGUAAUUAAGCUUAUAUGAUCUGCAAUUCAUUUUUAUUUAUAUGCACCUUUUAUCAUAUUUAUGGAGAAUGAUUAAAAGUUGUUCAAUGUUGGCAGUUGAUAGGUUCUAAAUGUGGAAUUUUAUGGUGUUUUUGCCUUCUGUUGUUUUGGAAUUUAAAGUGAUUAAGGUGAAAUAAUGGGGAUCUAGCAUCAAAUUUUGAAUAGCAUUCAACUUGAAUUCCAAAGUUUCUGAUUUCGGCUAAUUUUCUAAUUCCCAGCAAUAGUGUACUUCAUAUCAUUAGCUUUUGACGAUGCAUUUAU